GACGAACGCUGGCGGCGUGCUUAACACAUGCAAGUCGAACGGAAAGGCCCUGCUUUUGUGGGGUGCUCGAGUGGCGAACGGGUGAGUAACACGUGAGUAACCUGCCCUUGACUUUGGGAUAACUUCAGGAAACUGGGGCUAAUACCGGAUAGGAGCUCCUGCUGCAUGGUGGGGGUUGGAAAGUUUCGGCGGUUGGGGAUGGACUCGCGGCUUAUCAGCUUGUUGGUGGGGUAGUGGCUUACCAAGGCUUUGACGGGUAGCCGGCCUGAGAGGGUGACCGGCCACAUUGGGACUGAGAUACGGCUCAGACUCCUACGGGAGGCAGCAGUGGGGAAUAUUGCACAAUGGGCGGAAGCCUGACGCAGCAACGCCGCGUGCGGGAUGACGGCCUUCGGGUUGUAAACCGCUUUCGCCUGUGACGAAGCGUGAGUGACGGUAAUGGGUAAAGAAGCACCGGCUAACUACGUG
rnacentral:rRNA from 1 species